rnacentral:rRNA from 1 species
UACGGAAGGCAGCAGUGGGGAAUAUUGCACAAUGGGCGAAAGCCUGAUGCAGCUAUGCCGCGUGUAUGAAGAAGGCCUUAGGGUUGUAAAGUACUUUCAUCGGGGAGGAAAAACAAAACUAAUAAUUUUAUUUCUUGACGUUACCCGAAAAAGAAGCACCGGCUAACUCCGUGCCAGCAGCCGCGGUAAUACGGAGGGUGCUAGCGUUAAUCAGAAUUACUGGGCGUAAAGAGCACGUAGGUGGUUUUUUAAGUCAGAUGUGAAAUCCCUGGGCUUAACCUGGAACUGCAUUUUGAAACUGAAAUACUAGAGUAUCGUAGAGGGAGGUAGAAUUCUAGGUGUAGCGGUGAAAUGCGUAGAUAUCUGGAGGAAUACCUGUGGCGAAAGCGGCCUCUAAACGAAUACUGACACUGAGGUGCGAAAGCGUGGGGAGCAAAACAGGGAUUAGAUACC